GCAUCCCUCUCUGUCGCCCUCUCAUUUUCUCGUUUCAAGAGGAGCCGCGCCUCGCCGACACGUGGCCCCGCGUUCAACACACACGGCGGAUCGCCUACUGCCUCUCUCACUGGAACCCCGCGACAUCCAGAAGGCCGUCGUCUGCUUUGCCCUCGCUGAUUUGCCCUUCUUUCGGCUGCAGCUCUCCCUAGCGCGCGUUCUACUGCAACGCUGACGGUGUACAGCUCGACUUCACCUACUCGCCCAUCAUGUCGAUGCAACAAGACUUUGUUCACCCGCGUCAGAUGGAUGACAUGCGGGCCAUUCACGCCGCCAUCAACUCCUUCAGCGGUGUCAUGACCAAGAUGAUGAUGCUGAUGAAGGAGCUUGGGACCACGCUGGGGCACGUGAGCCACGCCUUCGAUGCACUCACCUCUCUCAGUUUUACCGAUGACGAGGUAAAGCAGUACGUGCACCACUUUGGCGAAGAGGUCAUCAGCAUGAAGGAGGGCAUCGCCUUUUGCCAAUACAACAAGCUUGUACAUGAGGAUGUGCUGCACCCGGUCGAGCAGCUGAAAAAAUCGCUGAAGGAGGCGGAGAAGGCGGCGAAGGCGGAGAAGAGCGCCUUUGAGAAGUACAGGAAGGCAAAGCAGUGCGUUGAUAAGCAGGAGAAGGCGUUUGCGGAGAGGAGCAAACCCCUGGACACGAGCAAAUCUUAUCCCACGCACGUGCAGGCGCGGAAUAAGGCGCUUGUCUCGCUGCAGAACUGCAAUAAAGAAUUUGAAGAUAGGUUCGCGAUGUUGGUGAACGACGUGAAGAACGUGACGGCGACGGCGCUCAAGCGCUACCUCGAACUCAACGCGGGCUACAUGACGUCUGUCGUGGACGCCCUCACCAAGACGGACCCUACCAUCGAGGAGGCUGCUGUCCUCCACUGUCAAGAGCAGCAGGAGCACCGGCAGAGCGUUGUCGAGCAGCGCUGCUUGCAGGUGAAUUCAGAGCUGAGCAUCGUUCAUGCCUCACAGGGGUACCGGCUCGACCCGAACGGGAUGAAUGGUGGCCUACACGACGGAAUCAUCUUCAAGAGCCUUCCGAGUAGGUUCCGGCAACAGCACAGAGUCUCGAGCACGGUCUCACGGGGCCAACCGCCUCGCGGUCGGAUGCCGUCGCCGGCAAUGACGGCCAUGAACGGUGGUUUGAAGUAGCCUCACAGGGGUACAUCAGCAGUGGUAAGCCUGAGGACCUUGAAGCCUACCGCGGAAGCAGCGACCGCCACAACGGCCGCCGUCGUUGCCGCGCCUCCAUCAGCCGUCGAGGACAACGCUGAUGACGAAGACUUCGGCUCUAUCUCACAGGUGGGCAUCGCUGGCAGGGAGGCACCGCCACUGUACACGUUUGGUCGUGGCCCGCAGUCGGUGGUGUCGUCGGCACCACCGCAGCCCGGCUACAUAGCCUCUCACAACUCUGCUCUGACGACCGAAUUCAUGACUCGCAUGGAGGCGAAUAGCAUCGCAGCCUCUGAGGUGUGUGCCCCUCGCUAGGCGCUGAAGGCCGCGCGUUUGCGAAGAAAGCUGCAGCCCGUGCGACUCACAGGAAAGCGCAGGCUGGCUUUAAAUGCACCUCCUUCGAUGGCGCAACCUUGCUUUCCGUUUAUAUUUACUGUUUUCAUACGCCUUUAAGCGCGCUUAACCGCUUUAUACCCGCGCAGGCCCGCUGGGGAGGGGGAAGUAUGGCGCUGCUUCUGAUUUCGGUGUGUCGGCGUCAGCCGUUUCUGUUUCGGUUCUUCUCCCUCCAUUAUCUUUCCCUGCUGCAAGCUCGGCGUCUCGUGGCAUGCCCUCAUGUCUCUCUCUCUCUUCGCGUCUGUGCUAGUGUUUUGAGCUGAAUCCGGUGAACUACUGCCCAUGUUGCUUGUCUGCUUUCCAUAGGGACUCGGUGCGGUUGUCUUUGCAACGAAGCUCACGGCACCAGUCGAACUCUGCGCUGGGCGGCAACUGCGCCCCAUUAGCGCUAGGCCGAUCGCCUUCGCGGGGAUGAGCACGCGAAGACGCAGCACGUGUGAUGUGCGUGUUGCCCUCUCUCUCCUUAUGCGGCUCUCUCAUUGCCUUCGUCACCCUUCCUUUGUCGUGCCCGUGGCCUUAUCCCUCUUGCUCUACAUACAUCUUGCUCGCCCCUACCUCGGCAUCACAG
rnacentral:misc_RNA from 1 species